AGAGUUUGAUCCUGGGCUCAGAUUGAACGCUGGCGGCAGGCCUAACACAUGCAAGUCGAGCGGUAGAGAGAAGCUUGCUUCUCUUGAGAGCGGCGGACGGGUGAGUAAUGCCUAGGAAUCUGCCUGGUAGUGGGGGAUAACGUCCGGAAACGGACGCUAAUACCGCAUACGUCCUACGGGAGAAAGCAGGGGACCUUCGGGCCUUGCGCUAUCAGAUGAGCCUAGGUCGGAUUAGCUAGUUGGUGGGGUAAUGGCUCACCAAGGCGACGAUCCGUAACUGGUCUGAGAGGAUGAUCAGUCACACUGGAACUGAGACACGGUCCAGACUCCUACGGGAGGCAGCAGUGGGGAAUAUUGGACAAUGGGCGAAAGCCUGAUCCAGCCAUGCCGCGUGUGUGAAGAAGGUCUUCGGAUUGUAAAGCACUUUAAGUUGGGAGGAAGGGCAGUAAAUUAAUACUUUGCUGUUUUGACGUUACCGACAGAAUAAGCACCGGCUAACUCUGUGCCAGCAGCCGCGGUAAUACAGAGGGUGCAAGCGUUAAUCGGAAUUACUGGGCGUAAAGCGCGCGUAGGUGGUUCGUUAAGUUGGAUGUGAAAUCCCCGGGCUCAACCUGGGAACUGCAUUCAAAACUGACGAGCUAGAGUAUGGUAGAGGGUGGUGGAAUUUCCUGUGUAGCGGUGAAAUGCGUAGAUAUAGGAAGGAACACCAGUGGCGAAGGCGACCACCUGGACUGAUACUGACACUGAGGUGCGAAAGCGUGGGGAGCAAACAGGAUUAGAUACCCUGGUAGUCCACGCCGUAAACGAUGUCAACUAGCCGUUGGGAGCCUUGAGCUCUUAGUGGCGCAGCUAACGCAUUA
rnacentral:rRNA from 1 species